rnacentral:rRNA from 1 species
UACGGGGGGGGCAAGCGUUGUUCGGAAUUACUGGGCGUAAAGGGCUCGUAGGCGGCCAACUAAGUCAGACGUGAAAUCCCUCGGCUUAACCGGGGAACUGCGUCUGAUACUGGAUGGCUUGAGGUUGGGAGAGGGAUGCGGAAUUCCAGGUGUAGCGGUGAAAUGCGUAGAUAUCUGGAGGAACACCGGUGGCGAAGGCGGCAUCCUGGACCAAUUCUGACGCUGAGGAGCGAAAGCCAAGGGAGCAAACGGG